AUUGGGUUUACGUUUGAGUUUUCAAGUUUAGGUUUAGGUUUAGGUUUAGGUUAGGGAGUUGAGAUUAGGAUUAGGUGUAGGUUUAGGUUUAGGAAUUUGAAAAUACGUUAAGGUUUAGGUUUAGGAAAUCGGGUUUGGGUUAUAGGUUUAGGUUUAGGUUUAGGUUAGGUUAUAGGUUAAGGUUUAGGAAAUUGAGUUUAGGUUAUAGGUUUAGGUUAUAAGUUAAGGUUAUAGGUUAAGGUUUAGGUUAUAGGUUAAGUUUUAGGUUUAGGUUAAGGUUAUAAGUUUAGGUUUAGGUUUAGUUUAUAGGUUUUGAGAUUUGAGAAUAGGUUUAGGUUAAGGUUAUAAGUUUAGGUUUAGGAAAUCGGGUUCGGGUUUAGGAUCGGGUUUAGGUUUGGGUUUUCAAGUUUAG